rnacentral:rRNA from 1 species
CGAGCGCACCCUUGUCCUUAGUUGCCAGCCUUAAGUUGGGCACUCUAAGGAGACUGCCGGUGACAAACCGGAGGAAGGGGGGGACGACGUCAAGUCAUCAUGGCCCUUACGUGUAGGGCUACACACGUGCUACAAUGGCAUUUACAGAGGGAAGCGAGACAGUGAUGUGGAGCGGACCCCUUAAAAAAUGUCGUAGUCCGGAUUGGAGUCUGCAACUCGACUCCAUGAAGUCGGAAUCGCUAGUAAUCACAGGUCAGAAUACUGCGGUGAAUACGUUCCCGGGCCUU